GCGCUAGGCAGAAGGCGCGCGCUCCCCGCGCUGCGCGGCACCGCCCUGUGGGCCUGGGAGCGGCGCGCCUCGCGGCGGCGCCCUGCGCAAGCUCCGCAGACGCUGAGCGCGGGAGGCCCGGCGAUCCUCCCAAGGAUGCGGCGGCGGCUGCGGCGUCGAGCCUUUGUAUCCCGCGGUUGGUGUGGUGCGGUGUCUCUCUAGGCGGCAGAAUGCCAUUCGGUCACGUGUGGUAGGAGGAGAGAUUUGUCUAAAAACCUGAGACCGCUCCUAGCUCAGAUCCCUGGGAGAGAGCCCAGUUGCCCCAAGAUUUACAGCUUACCUAGAAAGACGCUCCUAUGGAAUGGUGACGCCCGUUUAUUCGCCCAGAUCGCGAAUUUGGCCCUAUCUUGUCGGAGAUGUUUGCUUAAGUGAUUGAGAGGCUGCAGGUGCCUGUUGCCUUUAUUCAAAUUAUCGGUUAAUUUUACUGUGCUCUUAUCAACAAGUGCUACAGGGACACAAAAGCCCAAUCCCAGGAUGGAUGCACACUUGGAAACUUUUUUUCAUGCCAGGAGAUGGAAUUUAUUUACAUGCUUUUUAACCCACUGGUACAGCCAGCUGAGUCCUGAGCCUGAAGAAAGAUCAGACAGUUCUCUCAAAGUGGACCUUUGGUGGCAUGCGCAGGGAACACAAGGAAUUUCCAUAACCAGAGCUCCCUGUGUGCAUGACCACUUUCUCCCCAGACCUUGUAGUAGAUAUCGGAGGAAGAACACUGGCUUUGGAAUCAGAUCUGGAUGCCACUUAAUAGCUGCGUGCUGCUGGGAGAUGUGCUAAACUCAUCCGAGCUUCACUGCCUUCUUCUUAAAGUGGUUAUAAUAUUAAACUGCUAUUAAAACUGUUGUAUUAAAACUACUGUAAGGUAAUGUAAAACA